rnacentral:rRNA from 1 species
GGAGUUAGCCGGUGCUUCUUCUGCGAGUAACGUCACAGAUGUAAGGUAUUAACUUACACCCUUUCCUCCUCGCUGAAAGUGCUUUACAACCCGAAGGCCUUCUUCACACACGCGGCAUGGCUGCAUCAGGGUUUCCCCCAUUGUGCAAUAUUCCCCACUGCUGCCUCCCGUAGGAGUCUGGGCCGUGUCUCAGUCCCAGUGUGGCUGAUCAUCCUCUCAGACCAGCUAGGGAUCGUCGCCUAGGUGAGCCUUUACCUCACCUACUAGCUAAUCCCACCUGGGCUUAUCCAUCAGCGCAAGGCCCGAAGGUCCCCUGCUUUCCCCCGUAGGGCGUAUGCGGUAUUAGCAGUCGUUUCCAACUGUUAUCCCCCACAAAUGGGCAAAUUCCCAGGCAUUACUCACCCGUCCGCCGUUCGUCAUCUUCAAAAGCAAGCUUUUGAAAUGUUACCGCUCGACUUGCAUGUGUUAGGCCUGCCGCCAGCGUUCAAUCUGAGCCAUAAUCAAACUCUGA